AGGGGGUAUCCAUGAUGGAUUUCCCCUGCGUUACCAAAAAAAAAAAAAAGACUGCAUACAGCAACUCCUCCCUGAAUAGCAAGGAGGGGGGGUAAGGAGGGAGGCGGAUGCCCCCCUCUCCUCAGGUGAAACCAGAAGGCCAAAGGUCGGCCAACCGACCGGGGACCGCAUCUUGGAUUCCCUCUGUGGAACAGGGUGCGGUGCAAUGAUGGCGAGGGGCUCCCUUAGAGCCCUGGGGCCGGGGGGUUGGGGAGAGAAUAUGGGAGUAGUUCCUCUGACUCCCCUCUCACCGGUCCGACAGGUAGGCAUCCCGCAGGGGUUUUAGUCGGUAAGAGUCCGACAUAAUCCUCUGACCCCCCCCCAAGGGUCGGGGGUAUCCAUGAUGGAUUUUCCCUGCGUGACCAAAAAAAAAAAGAUUGCAUACAGCAAUGUCCAUUCGCCAUUUCCCAGUAGUAUGAUGUAGAAAGAAAAACAGGGACAGCGCGUACGCAGUCCCCACGAUCAAAAAAAUGCGCAGUUACAAGAACCACAUCCAACCGCCGCGGAGGCGAACAGAAGACUUUUAAAACAAAAAUCAUAUUAGUCAAUAAUGGAUAAAAGUGUUUGUUAUACGGACCGGGAGAGAAUGCUCCUGGCGCAGCUUAUUUCAGAAGAAGAAGCUAUUGAAAAUAAGAAAACCGGUGCGACAGAUAUGAAGAAUAAGGCAGAGGCAUAGGAGAGACCUAACCUAGGAGAGAAUAACAAAAAAAUACGCUAGCGAAGGUUAUACGCCAUAUGUUACGGCCAUACGUUUCAGCAAACAACUGAGGAAAUGCUGGGAUAACAUGAAACAGGAAUAAGAAACGAAAAUUAAACACGGUGAUCCGGCACCACCGGCUUAUGACAGGUGGAGGUUCUGCACUGGUACAACCGAAUGACCCAGUAAUGGAAUUCAUGAAUGCAACACAUGCUAACUUAGAACGUAGAAAUUAAUUGCCCAUUUGACAGCACUACAAUAUUUGAGAAAGAAUAUAAUGUACAGAUAUGUUCUACAUAAAGACCAUCCACACAAGUGAUCAUCGAAGAUGAAAAUGAAAAGGACGAGGAAGAUACUAAUGAUGUAUUUCUGUAUGAUCAGAGCAUCCCAUCUAAUCUCAUAGCAUACUAUUGGAAAAAGGGGCCACUUUAAAGAGUAAAAAUCUAAUGGUAAUGAUCUACUGGCAGCUAUCUACUAACGUCUGUUUUAAGACCUGAGACAGACGCAGAAAUUCGAUACAAUACUGCACAUACCAAAACAUGAGUUAUAGUUGAACAACUGUUUGGAGUUUGAAAACGUCGAUUUCCAUGCCUGUACUACGGCUUAAAAACAAAGUUGACCACAUCGGUGGCAAUUAUAUGUGCCACUGCCGUUUUGCACAAUGUAUGUAUACAAAAUAAUUUGGGUGAAGUGGUCUGAGAGGAGCUUAAUGAGAAUAUAUUUGAGGACAUUAUAAAUCGAGAACAAGAUGGUAUAGUACUUGUGCACAGAUAUGCUUUUAUUUUAAGACAUUUUUCUUAAAUAUGAAAUAAUGCUGUGAAUCAAUUAUAUUUUUUAUAUUAAGUUUAUAUCUACGAUGAAUGGCAUGUUCUAAUAAUGUUAAUCAAGAUAAAUUCAUACAAAUUUACACU
rnacentral:lncRNA from 1 species